UACAGAGGUCCCGAGCGUUGCUCGGAUUCAUUGGGCGUAAAGGGUGCGUAGGCGGCUUCCUAAGUUUGAUGUGAAAUCCUGGGGCUCAACCCUGGAACUGCAUUGAAUACUGGGAGGCUAGAGUACUGGAGAGGAAACUGGAAUUUACGGUGUAGCAGUGAAAUGCGUAGAGAUCGUAAGGAAGACCAGUGGCGAAGGCGAGUUUCUGGACAGUUACUGACGCUGAGGCACGAAGGCCAGGGGAGCAAACGGG
rnacentral:rRNA from 1 species